CCAGACCUGGAGAGCAGAGGGAGAGUCAUGCACCGCGCGGGGAAAGCAGCCGAAACCGGCCUGUGCCGGAGGGAAGGACCCAGGGCCGGUUCAGACACUUCAGUCAAGCUCAUACCACAGAGAAGGUAAAAGAGAUAGUGCUAACUCUUGGAACGCAGCUGGAGUGAGGCUUGCCUCUUUUCUCUAGCCAUGUUGAUCCUGUGAAGCAGCCUCCUGGCCUAUACUGUGGUCUCCUGAGAGGACUUGUCUUUGCAGAUGAUUAGUCUGAUUCCUGUGCCAAGCCCACCUUCCGUUGUAAAGUACAGACUGUGCAUCAUCUCAAAGCUGGCGUUGCACUUUAUAACCACUUCCUUGUGGAAUCUGAUGCUGUGGACCAGACAUCCAGAGUCCAAUAAACCCUCUAAAAAGAGGUAAAAUGGAGUUUCUGAACUGUAAGGCUGACCACCAGACACCCUUUGAACCAAGUAUGUUGUACCAUCACUGGGUGGAGUAGGAAGGAGUAGGAAGGAGGUUUCAGGCCUCCAUUUGUGAAGGGAGGCCUGGAACCUCAAGCUUGUAUGGCUUACAAGCUUGUAUGGCUCACAGCAUCAUCAGGCCCAAGCCAUAGAACACUGUACAGUCUUCUGUGGUCUGGUACCAGAAAGAACACCCUAGAUCCUCAAAGACUACCUGGCCCAAGAAAUCCUCGAGACCUUUUGAGGGAAGAGAAGCAGAAUUGUCUCUGAGCCCCUAAGACCUAUAUAACUUGUGUUGGCUCUGCCCCUUGGCACACCCCUCCACUUCAGGGACAUGUUCUGCCUGGCUGUACCAUCACUG